GAUGAACGCUGGCGGCGUGCCUAAUACAUGCAAGUCGAGCGAACGGACGAGAAGCUUGCUUCUCUGAUGUUAGCGGCGGACGGGUGAGUAACACGUGGAUAACCUACCUAUAAUACUGGGAUAACUUCGGGAAACCGGAGCUAAUACCGGAUGAUAUUUUGAACCGCAUGGUUCAAAAGUGAAAGACGGUCUUGCUGUCACUUAUAGAUGGAUCCGCGCUGCAUUAGCUAGUUGGUAAGGUAACGGCUUACCAAGGCAACGAUGCAUAGCCGACCUGAGAGGGUGAUCGGCCACACUGGAACUGAGACACGGUCCAGACUCCUACGGGAGGCAGCAGUAGGGAAUCUUCCGAAAUGGGCGAAAGCCUGACGGAGCAAAGCCGCGUGAGUGAUGAAGGUCUUCGGAUCGUAAAACUCUGUUAUUAGGGAAGAACAUAUGUGUAAGUAACUGUGCACAUCUUGACGGUACCUAAUCAGAAAGCCACGGCUAACUACGUG
rnacentral:rRNA from 1 species